GCGACUCCUAGGUCGGCUAAAAUCGGCCACGUCCUGUGGCCAACGCCGACACUAGAACGUCCAGUUCG
rnacentral:sRNA from 1 species